GGAAGAUUGGCAGAGUGGUUUAUUGCAACGGUCUUGAAAACCGUCGGAUCUGAAUAAGGUUCCGUGAGUUCAAAUCUCACAUCUUCCUCCA
rnacentral:tRNA from 1 species